rnacentral:rRNA from 1 species
GGAUGUGCUUGCACAUCGCUGACGAGUGGCGGACGGGUGAGUAAUGCUUGGGAACUUGCCUUUGCGAGGGGGAUAACAGUUGGAAACGACUGCUAAUACCGCAUAAUGUCUUCGGACCAAACGGGGCUUCGGCUCCGGCGCAAAGAGAGGCCCAAGUGAGAUUAGCUAGUUGGUAAGGUAACGGCUUACCAAGGCGACGAUCUCUAGCUGUUCUGAGAGGAAGAUCAGCCACACUGGGACUGAGACACGGCCCAGACUCCUACGGGAGGCAGCAGUGGGGAAUAUUGCACAAUGGGGGAAACCCUGAUACAGCCAUGCCGCGUGUGUGAAGAAGGCCUUCGGGUUGUAAAGCACUUUCAGUUGUGAGGAAAAGUUAGUAGUUAAUACCUGCUAGCCGUGACGUUAACAACAGAAGAAGCACCGGCUAACUCCGUGCCAGCAGCCGCGGUAAUACGGAGGGUGCGAGCGUUAAUCGGAAUUACUGGGCGUAAAGCGCACGCAGGCGGUUUGUUAAGCUAGAUGUGAAAGCCCCGGGCUCAACCUGGGAUGGUCAUUUAGAACUGGCAGACUAGAGUCUUGGAGAGGGGAGUGGAAUUCCAGGUGUAGCGGUGAAAUGCGUAGAUAUCUGGAGGAACAUCAGUGGCGAAGGCGACUCCCUGGCCA